GGCUUAGAGUUUGAUCAUGGCUCAGGACGAACGCUGGCGGCGCGCCUAACACAUGCAAGUCGAACGGGGUUGAGAGGAGCUUGCUUUUCUUGACUUAGUGGCGAACGGGUGAGUAACGCGUGAGGAACCUGCCUCAAAGAGGGGGACAACAGUUGGAAACGACUGCUAAUACCGCAUAAGCCCACGGGGCCGCAUGGCUCUGAGGGAAAAGGAGCAAUCCGCUUUGAGAUGGCCUCGCGUCCGAUUAGCUGGUUGGUGAGGUAACGGCCCACCAAGGCGACGAUCGGUAGCCGGACUGAGAGGUUGAACGGCCACAUUGGGACUGAGACACGGCCCAGACUCCUACGGGAGGCAGCAGUGGGGAAUAUUGCACAAUGGGGGAAACCCUGAUGCAGCGACGCCGCGUGGAGGAAGAAGGUCUUCGGAUUGUAAACUCCUGUUGUUGGGGAAAAGAAGGAUGGUACCCAACAAGGAAGUGACGGCUAACUACGUGCCAGCAGCCGCGGUAAAACGUAGGUCACGAGCGUUGUCCGGAAUUACUGGGUGUAAAGGGAGCGCAGGCGGGUAUGCAAGUUGGGAGUGAAAUACAUGGGCUCAACCCAUGAACUGCUCUCAAAACUGUGUAUCUUGAGUAGUGCAGAGGUAGGCG
rnacentral:rRNA from 2 species